rnacentral:lncRNA from 1 species
CCGUUUUUUGGCCAUUUUUCCACUGGGGGGUCUUGGGACCCCGACCUUCGGGGGCUGAUUUUUGGGCGCGGCUGUGCCCGUGGCCUAUUUUUGGCACACAGAGGCCGCCCGCCAAGUAUGGUGCCAUUCCGAGUCCCGCGGACGAACUUCGCCCACACCCCCAACAAGGCUAUAGCCCACCCGUUUUUUGGCCAUUUUUCCGCUGGUGGGUCUUGGGACCCCGACCUUCGGGGGCUGAUUUUUGGGCGCGGCUGUGCCCGUGCCCUAUUUUUGGCACACGGAGGCCGCCCGCCAAGUCAGGGGCCAUUCCGAGUCCCGCGGACGAAGUUCGCCCACGCCCCCCACCAAGGCUAUAGCCCACCCGUUUUUUGGCCAUUUUUCCACUGGGGGGUCUUGGGACCCCGACCUUCGGGGGCUGAUUUUUGUGCGCGGCUGUGCCCGUGGCCUAUUUUUGGCACACAGAGGCCGCCCGCCAAGUAUGGUGCCAUUCCGAGUCCCGCGGACGAACUUCGCCCACGCCCCCCACCAAGGCUAUAGCCCACCCGUUUUUUGGCCAUUUUUUCGCUGGGGGGUCUUGGGACCCCGACCUUCGGGGGCUGAUUUUUGGGCGCGGCUGUGCCCGUGGCCUAUUUUUGGUACCCGGAGGCCGCCCGCCAAGUCAGGGGCCAUUCCGAGUCCCGCGGACGAAGUUCGCCCACGCCCCCCACCAAGGCUAUAGCCCACCCGUUUUUUGGCCAUUUUUCCGCUGGGGGGUCUUGGGACCUCGACCUUCGGGGGCUGAUUUUUGGGCGCGGCUGUGCCCGUGUCCUAUUUUUGGCACACGGAGGCCGCCCGCCAAGUCAGGUGCCAUUCCGAGUCCCGCGGACGAAGUUUGCCCACGCCCCCCACCAAGGCUAUAGCCCACCCGUUUUUUGGCCAUUUUUCCGCUGGGGGGUCUUGGGACCCCGACCUUCGGGGGCUGAUUUUUGGGCGCGGCUGUGCCCGUGGCCUAUUUUUGGCACACAGAGGCCGCCCGCCAAGUAUGGUGCCAUUCCGAGUCCCGCGGACGAACUUCGCCCACGCCGCCCACCAAGGCUAUAGCCCACCCGUUUUUUGACCAUUUUUCCGCUGGGGGGUCUUGGGACCCCGACCUUCGGGGGCUGAUUUUUGGGCGCGGCUGUGCCCGUGGCCUAUUUUUGGUACCCGGAGGCCGCCCGCCAAGUCAGGGGCCAUUCCGAGUCCCGCGGACGAAGUUCGCCCUCUCCCCCCACCAAGGCUAUAGCCCACCCGUUUUUUGGCCAUUUUUCCGCUGGGGGGUCUUGGGACCUCGACCUUCGGGGGCUGAUUUUUGGGCGCGGCUGUGCCCGUGUCCUAUUUUUGGCACACGGAGGCCGCCCGCCAAGUCAGGGGCCAUUCCGAGUCCCGCGGACGAAGUUCGCCCACGCCCCCCACCAAGGCUAUAGCCCACCCGUUUUUUGGCCAUUUUUCCGCUGGGGGGUCUUGGGACCCCGACCUUCGGGGGCUGAUUUUUGGGCGCGGCUGUGCCCGUGGCCUAUUUUUGGCACACAGAGGCCGCCCGCCAAGUAUGGUGCCAUUCCGAGUCCCGCGGACGAACUUCGCCCACGCCGCCCACCAAGGCUAUAGCCCACCCGUUUUUUGACCAUUUUUCCGCUGGGGGGUCUUGGGACCCCGACCUUCGGGGGCUGAUUUUUGGGCGCGGCUGUGCCCGUGGCCAAUUUUUGGUACCCGGAGGCCGUCCGCCAAGUCAGGGGCCAUUCCGAGUCCCGCGGACGAAGUUCGCCCACGCCCCCCACCAAGGCUAUAGCCCACCCGUUUUUUGGCCAUUUUUCCGCUGGGGGGUCUUGGGACCCCGACCUUUGGGGGCUGAUUUUUGGGCGCGGCUGUGCCCGUGGCCUAUUUUUGGCACACGGAGGCCGCCCGCCAAGUCAGGGGCCAUUCCGAGUCCCGCGGACGAAGUUCGCCCACGCCCCCCACCAAGGCUAUAGCCCACCCGUUUUUUGGCCAUUUUUCCGCUGGGGGGUCUUGGGACCCCGACCUUCGGGGUCUGAUUUUUGGGCGCGGCUGUGCCCGUGGCCUAUUUUUGGCACACGGAGACCACCCGCCAAGUAUGGUGCCAUUCCGAGUCCCGCGGACGAACUUCGCCCACGCCCCCCACCAAGGCUAUAGCCCACCCGUUUUUUGGCCAUUUUUCCGCUGGGGGGUCUUGGGACCCCGACCUUCGGGGGCUGAUUUUUGGGCGCGGCUGUGCCCGUGGCCUAUUUUUGGCACACGGAGGCCGCCCGCCAAGUAUGGUGCCAUUCCGAGUCCCGCGGACGAACUUCGCCCACGCCGCCCACCAAGGCUAUAGCCCACCCGUUUUUUGGCCAUUUUUCCGCUGGGGGGUCUUGGGACCCCGACCUUCGGGGGCUGAUUUUUGGGCGCGGCUGUGCCCGUGGCCUAUUAUUGGCACACGGAGGCCGCCCGCCAAGUCAGGGACCAUUCCGAGUCCCGCGGACGAAGUUCGCCCACGCCCCCCACCAAGGCUAUAGCCCACCCGUUUUUUGGACAUUUUUCCGCUGGGGGGUCUUGGGACCCCGACCUUCGGGGGCUAAUUUUUGGGCGCGGCUGUGCCCGUGGCCUAUUUUUGGCACACAUAGGCCGCCCGCCAAGUAUGGUGCCAUUCCUAGUCCCGCGGACAAACUUCUCCCACACCACCCACCAAGGCUAUAGCCCACCCGUUUUUGGCCAUUUUUCCGCUGGGGGGUCUUGGGAGCCCGACCUUCGGGGGCUGAUUUUUGGGCGCGGCUGUGCCCGUGGCCUAUUUUUGGCACACGGAGGCCGCCCGCCAAGUCAGGGGCCAUUCCGAGUCCCGCGGACGAAGUUCGCCCACGCCCCCCACCAAGGCUAUAGCCCACCCGUUUUUUGGCCAUUUUUCCGCUGGGGGGUCUUGGGACCCCGACCUUCGGGGGCUGAUUUUUGGGCCGCGGCUGUGCCCGUGGCCUAUUUUUGGCACACAGAGGCCGCCCGCCAAGUAUGGUGCCAUUCCGAGUCCCGCGGACGAACUUCGCCCACGCCCCCCACCAAGGCUAUAGCCCACCCGUUUUUUGGCCAUUUUUCCGCUGGGGGGUCUUGGGACCCCGACCUUCGGGGGCUGAUUUUUGGGCGCGGCUGUGCCCGUGGCCUAUUUUUGGCACACAGAGGCCGCCCGCCAAGUAUGGUGCCAUUCCGAGUCCCGCGGACGAACUUCGCCCACGCCCCCCACCAAGGCUAUAGCCCACCCGUUUUUUGGCCAUUUUUCCGCUGGGGGGUCUUGGGACCCCGACCUUCGGGGGCUGAUUUUUGGGCGCGGCUGUGCCCGUGGCCUAUUUUUGGCACACGGAGGCCGCCCGCCAAGUCAGGGGCCAUUCCGAGUCCCGCGGACGAAGUUCGCCCACGCCCCCCACCAAGGCUAUAGCCCACCCGUUUUUUGGCCAUUUUUCCACUGGGGGGUCUUGGGACCCCGACCUUCGGGGGCUGAUUUUUGGGCGCGGCUGUGCCCGUGGCCUAUUUUUGGCACACGGAGGCCGCCCGCCAAGUCAGGGGCCAUUCCAAGUCCCGCGUACGAAGUUCGCCCACGCCUCCCACCAAGGCUAUAGCCCACCCAUUUUUUGGCCAUUUUUCCACUGGGGGGUCUUGGGACCCCGACCUUCGGGGGCUGAUUUUUGUGCGCGGCUGUGCCCGUGGCCUAUUUUUGGCACACAGAGACCGCCCGCCAAGUAUGGUGCCAUUCCGAGUCCCGCGGACGAACUUCGCCCACGCCGCCCACCAAGUCUAUAGCCCACCCGUUUUUUGGCCAUUUUUCCGCUGGGGGGUCUUGGGACCCCGACCUUCGGGGGCUGAUUUUUGGGCGCGGCUGUGCCCGUGGCCUAUUUUUGGCACACAGAGGCCGCCCGCCAAGUAUGGUGCCAUUCCGAGUCCCGCGGACGAACUUCGCCCACGCCCCCCACCAAGGCUAUAGCCCACCCGUUUUUUGGCCAUUUUUCCGCUGGGGGGUCUUGGGACCCCGACCUUCGGGGGCUGAUUUUUGGGCGCGGCAGUGCCCGUGGCCUAUUUUUGGCACACAGAGGCCGCCCGCCAAGUAUGGUGCCAUUCCGAGUCCCGCAGAUGAACUUCGCCCACGCCGCCCACCAAGGCUAUAGCCCACCCGUUUUUUGGCCAUUUUUCCGCUGGGGGGUCUUGGGACCCCGACCUUCGGGGGCUGAUUUUUGGGCGCGGCUGUGCCCGUGGCCUAUUUUUGGCACACGGAGGCCGCCCGCCAAGUCAGGGGCCAUUCCGAGUCCCGCGGACGAAGUUCGCCCACGCCCCCCACCAAGGCUAUAGCCCACCCGUUUUUUGGCCAUUUUUCCGCUGGGGGGUCUUGGGACCCUGACCUUCGGGGGCUGAUUUUUGGGCGCGGCUGUGCCCGUGGCCUAUUUUUGGCACACAGAGGCCGCCCGCCAAGUAUGGUGCCAUUCCGAGUCCCGCGGACGAACUUCGCCCACGCCGCCCACCAAGGCUAUUGCCCACCCGUUUUUUGGCCAUUUUUCCACUGGGGGGUCUUGGGACCCCUACNNNNNNNNNNNNNNNNNNNNNNNNNNNNNNNNNNNNNNNNNNNNNNNNNNNNNNNNNNNNNNNNNNNNNNNNNNNNNNNNNNNNNNNNNNNNNNNNNNNNNNNNNNNNNNNNNNNNNNNNNNNNNNNNNNNNNNNNNNNNNNNNNNNNNNNNNNNNNNNNNNNNNNNNNNNNNNNNNNNNNNNNNNNNNNNNNNNNNNNNNNNNNNNNNNNNNNNNNNNNNNNNNNNNNNNNNNNNNNNNNNNNNNNNNNNNNNNNNNNNNNNNNNNNNNNNNNNNNNNNNNNNNNNNNNNNNNNNNNNNNNNNNNNNNNNNNNNNNNNNNNNNNNNNNNNNNNNNNNNNNNNNNNNNNNNNNNNNNNNNNNNNNNNNNNNNNNNNNNNNNNNNNNNNNNNNNNNNNNNNNNNNNNNNNNNNNNNNNNNNNNNNNNNNNNNNNNNNNNNNNNNNNNNNNNNNNNNNNNNNNNNNNNNNNNNNNNNNNNNNNNNNNNNNNNNNNNNNNNNNNNNNNNNNNNNNNNNNNNNNNNNNNNNNNNNNNNNNNNNNNNNNNNNNNNNNNNNNNNNNNNNNNNNNNNNNNNNNNNNNNNNGGCUGUACCCGUGGCCUAUUUUUGGCACACGGAGGCCGCCCGCCAAGUCAGGGGCCAUUCCGAGUCCCGCGGACGAAGUUCGCCCACGCCCCCCACCAAGGCUAUAGCCAACCCGUUUUUUGGCCAUUUUUCCGCUGGGGGGUCUUGGGACCCCGAGCUUCGGGGGCUGAUUUUUGGGCGCGGCUGUGCCCGUGGCCUAUUUUUGGAAUACAGUGACCGCCCGCCAAGUAUGGUGCCAUUCCGAGUCCCGCGGACGAACUUCGCCCACGCCGCCCCACCAAGGCUAUAGCCCACCCGUUUUUUGGCCAUUUUUCCGCUGGGGGGUCUUGGGACCCCGACCUUCGGGGGCUGUUUUUUGGGCGCGGCUGUGCCCGUGGCCUAUUUUUGGCACACGGAGGCCGCCCGCAACGUCUGGUGCCAUUCCGAGUCCCGCGGACGAACUUCGCCCACGCCCCCGACCAAGGCUAUAGCCCACCCGUUUUUUGGCCAUUUUUCCGCUGGGGGGUCUUGGGACCCCGACCUUCGGGAGCUGUUUUUUGGGCGCGGCUGUGCCCGUGGCCUAUUUUUGGCACACGGAGGCCGCCCGCCACGUCUGGUGCCAUUCCGAGUCCCGCGGACGAACUUCGCCCACGGCCCCCACCAAGGCUAUAGCCCACCCGUUUUUUGGCCAUUUUUCCGCUGGGGGGUCUUGGGACCCCGACCUUCGGGGGCUGUUUUUUGGGCGCGGCUGUGCCCGUGGCCUAUUUUUGGCACACGGAGGCCGCCCGCCAAGUCUGGUGCCAUUCCGAGUCCCGCGGACGAACUUCGCCCACGCCCCCCACCAAGGCUAUAGCCCACCCGUUUUUUGGCCAUUUUUCCGCUGGGGGGUCUUGGGACCCCGACCUUCGGGGGCUGUUUUUUGGGCGCGGCUGUGCCCGUGGCCUAUUUUUGGCACACGGAGGCCGCCCGCCAAGUCUGGUGCCAUUCCGAGUCCCGCGGACGAACUUCGCCCACGCCCCCCACCAAGGCUAUAGCCCACCCGUUUAUUGGCCAUUUUUCCGCUGGGGGGUCUUGGGACCCCGACCUUCGGGGGCUGGUUUUUGGGCGCGGCUGUGCCCGUGGCCUAUUUUUGGCACACGGAGGCCGCCCGCCAAGUCUGGUGCCAUUCCGAGUCCCGCGGACGAACUUCGCCCACGGCCCCCACCAAGGCUAUAGCCCACCCGUUUUUUGGCCAUUUUUCCGCUGGGGGGUCUUGGGACCCCGACCUUCGGGGGCUGUUUUUUGGGCGCGGCUGUGCCCGUGGCCUAUUUUUGGCACACGGAGGCCGCCCGCCAAGUCUGGUGCCAUUCCGAGUCCCGCGGACGAACUUCGCCCACGGCCCCCACCAAGGCUAUAGCCCACCCGUUUUUUGGCCAUUUUUCCGCUGGGGGGUCUUGGGACCCCGACCUUCGGGGGCUGUUUUUUGGGCGCGGCUGUGCCCGUGGCCUAUUUUUGGCACACGGAGGCCGCCCGCCAAGUCUGGUGCCAUUCCGAGUCCCGCGGACGAACUUCGCCCACGCCCCCCACCAAGGCUAUAGCCCACCCGUUUUUUGGCCAUUUUUCCGCUGGGGGGUCUUGGGACCCCGACCUUCGGGGGCUGGUUUUUGGGCGCGUCUGUGCCCGUGGCCUAUUUUUGGCACACGGAGGCCGCCCGCCAAGUCUGGUGCCAUUCCGAGUCCCGCGGACGAACUUCGCCCACGCCCCCCACCAAGGCUAUAGCCCACCCGUUUUUUGGCCAUUUUUCCGCUGGGGGGUCUUGGGACCCCGACCUUCGGGGGCUGUUUUUUGGGCGCGGCUGUGCCCGUGGCCUAUUUUUGGCACACGGAGGCCGCCCGCCAAGUCUGGUGCCAUUCCGAGUCCCGCGGACGAACUUCGCCCACGCCCCCCACCAAGGCUAUAGCCCACCCGUUUUUUGGCCAUUUUUCCGCUGGGGGGUCUUCGGACCCCGACCUUCGGGGGCUGGUUUUUGGGCGCGGCUGUGCCCGUGGCCUAUUUUUGGCACACGGAGGCCGCCCGCCAAGUCUGGUGCCAUUCCGAGUCCCGUGGACGAACUUCGCCCACGGCCCCCACCAAGGCUAUAGCCAACCCGUUUUUUGGCCAUUUUUCCGCUGGGGGGUCUUGGGACCCCGACCUUGGGGGGCUGUUUUUUGGGCGCGGCUGUGCCCGUGGCCUAUUUUUGGCACACGGAGGCCGCCCGCCAAGUCUGGUGCCAUUCCGAGUCCCGCGGACGAACUUCGCCCACGCCCCCCACCAAGGCUAUAGCCCACCCGUUUUUUGGCCAUUUUUCCGCUGGGGGGUCUUGGGACCCCGACCUUCGGGGGCUGUUUUUUGGGCGCGGCUGUGCCCGUGGCCUAUUUUUGGCACACGGAGGCCGCCCACCAAGUCUGGUGCCAUUCCGAGUCCCGCGGACGAACUUCGCCCACGCCCCCCACCAAGGCUAUAGCCCACCUAUUUUUUGGCCAUUUUUCCGCUGGGGGGUCUUGGGACCCCGACCUUCGGGGGCUGUUUUUUGGGCGCGGCAGUGCUCGUGGCCUAUUUUUGGCACACGGAGGCCGCCCUCCAAGUCUGCUGCCAUUCCGAGUCCCGCGGACGAACUUCGCCCACGCCCCCCACCAAGGCUAUAGCCCACCUAUUUUUUGGCCAUUUUUCCGCUGGGGGGUCUUGGGACCCCGAACUUCGAGGGCUGUUUUUUGGGUGCGGCUGUGCCCGUGGCCUAUUUUUGGCACACGGAGGCCGCCCGCCAAGUCUGGUGCCAUUCCGAGUCCCGCGGACGAACUUCGCCCACGCCCCCCACCAAGGCUAUAGCCCACCCGUUUUUUGGCCAUUUUUCCGCUGGGGGGUCUUGGGACCCCGACCUUCGGGGGCUGUUUUUUGGGCGCGGCUGUGCCCGUGGCCUAUUUUUGGCACACGGAGGCCGCCCGCCAAGUCUGGUGCCAUUCCGAGUCCCGCGGACGAACUUCGCCCACGCCCCCCACCAAGGCUAUAGCCCACCCGUUUUUUGGCCAUUUUUCCGCUGGCGGGUCUUGGGACCCCGGCCUUCGGGGGCUGUUUUUUGGGCGCGGCAGUGCCCGUGGCCUAUUUUUGGCACACGGAGGCCGCCCGCCAAGUCUGGUGCCAUUCCGAGUCCCGCGGACGAACUUCGCCCACGGCCCCCACCAAGGCUAUAGGCCACCCGUUUUUUGGCCAAUUUUCCGCUGGGGGGUCUUGGGACCCCGACCUUCGGGGGCUGUUUUUUGGGCGCGGCUGUGCCCGUGGCCUAUUUUUGGCACACGGAGGCCGCCCGCCAAGUCUGGUGCCAUUCCGAGUCCCGCGGACGAACUUCGCCCACGCCCCCCACCAAGGCUAUAGCCCACCCGUUUUUUGGUCAUUUUUCCGCUGGGGGGUCUUGGGACCCCGACCUUCGGGGGCUGUUUUUUGGGCGCGGCUGUGCCCGUGGCCUAUUUUUGGCACACGGAGGCCGCCCGCCAAGUCUGGUGCCAUUCCGAGUCCCGCGGACAAACUUCGCCCACGACCCCCACCAAGGCUAUAGGCCACCCGUUUUUUGGCCAUUUUUCCGCUGGGGGGGUCUUGGGACCCCGACCUUCGGGGGCUGUUUUUUGGACGCGGCUGUGCCCGUGGCCUAUUUUUGGCACACGGAGGCCGCCCGCCAAGUCUGGUGCCAUUCCGAGUCCCGCGGACGAACUUCGCCCACGGCCCCCACCAAGGCUAUAGGCCACCCGUUUUUUGGCCAAUUUUCCGCUGGGGGGUCUUGGGACCCCGACCUUCGGGGGCUGUUUUUUGGGCGCGGCUGUGCCCGUGGCCUAUUUUUGGCACACGGAGGCCGCCCGCCAAGUCUGGUGCCAUUCCGAGUCCCGCGGACGAACUUCGCCCACGCCCCCCACCAAGGCUAUAGCCCACCCGUUUUUUGGUCAUUUUUCCGCUGGGGGGUCUUGGGACCCCGACCUUCGGGGGCUGUUUUUUGGGCGCGGCUGUGCCCGUGGCCUAUUUUUGGCACACGGAGGCCGCCCGCCAAGUCUGGUGCCAUUCCGAGUCCCGCGGACGAACUUCGCCCACGGCCCCCACCAAGGCUAUAGCCCACCCGUUUUUUGGCCAUUUUUCCGCUGGGGGGUCUUGGGACCCCGACCUUCGGGGGCUGUUUUUUGGGCGCGGCUGUGCCCGUGGCCUAUUUUUGGCACACGGAGGCCGCCCGCCAAGUCUGGUGCCAUUCCGAGUCCCGCGGACGAACUUCGCCCACGCCCCCCACCAAGGCUAUAGCCCACCCGUUUUUUGGUCAUUUUUCCGCUGGGGGUCUUGGGACCCCGACCUUCGGGGGCUGUUUUUUGGGCGCGGCUGUGCCCGUGGCCUAUUUUUGGCACACGGAGGCCGCCCGCCAAGUCUGGUGCCAUUCCGAGUCCCGCGGACGAACUUCGCCCACGCCCCCCACCAAGGCUAUAGCCCACCCGUUUUUUGGCCAUUUUUCCGCUGGGGGGUCUUGGGACCCCGACCUUCGGGGGCUGUUUUUUGGGCGCGGCUGUGCCCGUGGCCUAUUUUUGGCACACGGAGGCCGCCCGCCACGUCUGGUGCCAUUCCGAGUCCCGCGGACGAACUUCGCCCACGGCCCCGACCAAGGCUAUAGCCCACCCGUUUUUUGGCCAUUUUUCCGCUGGGGGGUCUUGGGACCCCGACCUUCGGGGGCUGUUUUUUGGGCGCGGCUGUGCCCGUGGCCUAUUUUUGGCACACGGAGGCCGCCCGCCAAGUCUGGUGCCAUUCCGAGUCCCGCGGACGAACUUCGCCCACGGCCCCCACCAAGGCUAUAGCCCACCCGUUUUUUGGCCAUUUUUCCGCUGGGGGGUCUUGGGACCCCGACCUUCGGGGGCUGGUUUUUGGGCGCGGCUGUGCCCGUGGCCUAUUUUUGGCACACGGAGGCUGCCCGCCAAGUCUGGUGCCAUUCCGAGUCCCGCGGACGAACCUCGCCCACGCCCCCCACCAAGGCUAUAGCCCACCCGUUUUUUGGCCAUUUUUCCGCUGGGGGGUCUUGGGACCCCGACCUUCGGGGGCUGAUUUUUGGGCGCGGCUGUGCCCGUGGCCUAUUUUUGGCACACAGAGGCCGCCCGCCAAGUAUGGUGCCAUUCCGAGUCCCGCGGACGAACUUUGCCCACGCCCCCCACCAAGGCUAUAGCCCACCCGUUUUUUGGCCAUUUUUCCGCUGGGGGGUCUUGGGACCCCGACCUUCGGGGGCUGAUUUUUGGGCGCGGCUGUGCCCGUGGCCUAUUUUUGGCACACGGAGGCCGCCCGCCAAGUCAGGGGCCAUUCCGAGUCCCGCGGACGAAGUUCGCCCACGCCCCCCACCAAGGCUAUAGCCCACCCGUUUUUUGGCCAUUUUUCCACUGGGGGGUCUUGGGACCCCGACCUUCGGGGGCUGAUUUUUGUGCGCGGCUGUGCCCGUGGCCUAUUUUUGGCACACAGAGGCCGCCCGCCAAGUAUGGUGCCAUUCCGAGUCCCGCAGACGAACUUCGCCCACGCACCCCACCAAGGCUAUAGCCCACCCGUUUUUUGGCCAUUUUUCCGCUGGGGGGUCUUGGGACCCCGACCUUCGGGGGCUGAUUUUUGGGCGCGGCUGUGCCCGUGGCCUAUUUUUGGCACACAAAGGCCGCCCGCCAACUAUGGUGCCAUUCCGAGUCCCGCGGACGAACUUCGCCCACGCCCCUCACCAAGGCUAUAGCCCACCCGUUUUUUGGCCAUUUUUCCGCUGGGGGGUCUUGGGACCCCGACCUUCGGGGGCUGAUUUUUGGGCGCGGCUGUGCCCUUGGCCUAUUUUUGGCACACGGAGGCCGCCCGCCAAGUCAGGGGCCAUUCCGAGUCCCGCGGACGAAGUUCGCCCACGCCCCCCACCAAGGCUAUAGCCCACCCGUUUUUUGGCCAUUUUUCCACUGGGGCGGCUUGGGACCCCGACCUUCCGGGGCUGAUUAUUGUGCGCGGCUGUACCCGUGGCUAUUUUUGGCACACAGAGGCCGCCCGCCAAGUAUGGUGCCAUUCCGAGUCCCGCGGACGAACUUCGCCCACGCCCCCCAUCAAGGCUAUAGCCCACCCGUUUUUUGGCCAUUUUUCCGCUGGGGGGUCUUGGGACCCCGACCUUCGGGGGCUGAUUUUUGGACGCGGCUGUGCCCGUGGCCUAUUUUUGGCACACAGAGGCCGCCCGCCAAGUAUGGUGCCAUUCUAAGUCCCGCGGACGAACUUCGCCCACGCCGCCCACCAAGGCUAUAGCCCACCCGUUUUGUGGCCAUUUUUCCGCUGGGGGGUCUUGGGACCCCGACCUUCGGGGGCUGAUUUUUGGGCGCGGCUGUGCCCGUGGCCUAUUUUUGGCACACGGAGGCCGCCCGCCAAGUCAGGGGCCAUUCCGAGUCCCGCGGACGAAGUUCGCCCACGCCCCCCACCAAGGCUAUAGCCCACCCGUUUUUUGGCCAUUUUUCCACUGGGGGGUCUUGGGACCCCGACCUUCGGGGGCUGAUUUUUGGGCGCGGCUGUGCCCGUGGCCUAUUUUUGGCACACGGAGGCCGCCCGCCAAGUAUGGUGCCAUUCCGAGUCCCGCGGACGAACUUCGCCCACGCCCCCCACCAAGGCUAUAGCCCACCCGUUUUUUGGCCAUUUUUCCGCUGGGGGGUCUUGGGACCCCGACCUUCGGGGGCUGAUUUUUGGGCGCGGCUGUGCCCGUGGCCUAUUGUUGGCACACAGAGGCGGCCCGCCAAGUAUGGUGCCAUUCCGAGUCCCGCGGACGAAGUUCGCCCACGCCCCCCACCAAGGCUAUAGCCCACCCGUUUUUUGGCCAUUUUUCCGCUGGGGGGUCUUGGGACCCCGACCUUCGGGGGCUGAUUUUUGGGCGCGGCUGUGCCCGUGGCCUAUUUUUGGCACACGGAGGCCACCCGCCAGGUCUGAGGCCAUUCCGAGUCCCGCGGACGAACUUCGCCCACGCCCCCCACCAAGGCUAUAGCCCACCCUUUUUUUGGCCAUUUUUCCGCUGGGGGGUCUGGGGACCCCACCUUCGCGGCUGUGCCCGUGGCCUAUUUUUGGCACACAGAGGCCGCCCGCCAAGUAUGGUGCCAUUCCGAGUCCCGCGGACGAACUUCGCCCACGCCGCCCACCAAGGCUAUAGCCCACCUGUUUUUUGGCCAUUUUUCCGCUGGGGGGUCUUGGGACCCCGACCUUCGGGGGCUGAUUUUUGGGCGCGGCUGUGCCCGUGGCCUAUUUUUGGCACACGGAGGCCGCCCGCCAAGUCAGGGGCCAUUCCGAGUCCCGCGGACGAAGUUCGCCCACGCCCCCCACCAAGGCCAUAGCCCACCCGUUUUUUGGCCAUUUUUCCGCUGGGGGGUCUUGGGACCCCGACCUUCGGGGGCUGAUUUUUGGGCGCGGCUGUGCCCGGGGCCUAUUUUUGGCACACGGAGGCCGCCCGCCAAGUCAGGGGCCAUUCCGAGUCCCGCGGACGAAGUUAGCCCACGCCCCCCACCAAGGCUAUAGCCCACCCGUUUUUUGGCCAUUUUUCCGCUGGGGGGUCUUGGGACCCCGACCUUCGUGGGCUGAUUUUUGGGCGCGGCUGUGCCCGUGGCCUAUUUUUGGCACACAGAGGCCGCCCGCCAAGUAUGGUGCCAUUCCGAGUCCCGCGGACGAACUUC